UCGGAUUCCAAGCACUGACCCGGCGCAACAAGCAUGUGGCAGGGUGCCUGGUUCCUGGUGCUGCUUUUCAGCUGUAGAAGUGUGGCUCAGACCCUGAUCCAGCCCAAAGCAUCGAUGACGGUACCUGUCGGAAAAACCGCGCGAAUACUGUGUCAAGUUCAUGGAGGCUCCGUCAGCAGUAGUUAUCCCCUUCACUGGUACCAACAGAAACCGGGCAAGCCGCUCCAAUGGAUACUCUAUUAUGGAGAUCGGGGAAUCAAGCCUCCGAAAAUGCAUCUUCUCCCGCCCGAUCGUGAAGAGGAGAAGAACGAUAAAUUCUUUGUGGCUUGCCUGAUGACCGACUUCUUCCCCGAAGUGAUCAAAGUUAACUGGGAAGUCACUGGCAGGACAGAUCUAAAAAUUCUGACAGAGCCGGUGCAGGAGAAGAAUGGUAACUACUCGCUGAUUAGCCGUCUGGAAGUCUCCAGAGUGGAAUGGGAGGAGCAAACGGUCACUUGCCUGAUGACGCACGAGGCGUUAACCGACAAAUUAACAACUUCAGCACAACGCAGAGCUGAUCAAAAAAUUACCCCAAAUUUGGGAGAAGUCACCUGUCCAUCUGAAGAAUCAAGGGAGACCAGGAAUGAAGAAACCCCUUACACCUCACUGUGGGUUGCGACCUUGACAUAUACCGCUCUACUGACGAAGAGCGUGUUAUACUGCUUCUUCAUUUCGAUCGUCGUUUACAAGAUGGAGUCUCGCGGCGCGAAGAAGCCAAUGUAACUCGCAUUAAGAACAAUGUAUAGUUUGAUAAUGUCUUCCAUUACAAUGUAAGCUUUCUCUUUGAUUUCUUCGUGGUAUACAGUACCGAGAAUUUUUACAUCCUGUUGCAAGCCACAUGGCUUUUGGGCGAGAGAUGGGGCACGUUUCCAGAUAACUACAGUGCAAAAUAGCUAGAAAUAGCUGCAUGAAUGUCGGUAAUCAAAUAUCAGUUGUCCUCUUGUGGGAAAACGGUUCGUUGUUCUUCAAGCGAAUUUUAUUGCUGAAUGUUUGCUAUUAGUUUGCCGGCUUUUAUAUUGUCAUGUUAUUUUGCAUUUAUCAUUGUGUAAAUCAGACAAUAAACUAGUCAGUAAGAUUUA